GUGCUCACUUCAGCAGCACAUACACUAAAAUUAGAAAGAUACAGAGAAGAUUAACAUGUCCCCUAUGCAAGGAUGACACGUGAAUUCAUGAAACAUUCUGUAUUUUU